rnacentral:rRNA from 1 species
AAAUUGAAGAGUUUGAUCAUGGCUCAGAUUGAACGCUGGCGGCAGGCCUAACACAUGCAAGUCGAACGGUAACAGGAAGCAGCUUGCUGCUUUGCUGACGAGUGGCGGACGGGUGAGUAAUGUCUGGGAAACUGCCUGAUGGAGGGGGAUAACUACUGGAAACGGUGGCUAAUACCGCAUAACGUCGCAAGACCAAAGAGGGGGACCUUCGGGCCUCUUGCCAUCAGAUGUGCCCAGAUGGGAUUAGCUUGUUGGUGAGGUAACGGCUCACCAAGGCGACGAUCCCUAGCUGGUCUGAGAGGAUGACCAGCCACACUGGAACUGAGACACGGUCCAGACUCCUACGGGAGGCAGCAGUGGGGAAUAUUGCACAAUGGGCGCAAGCCUGAUGCAGCCAUGCCGCGUGUAUGAAGAAGGCCUUCGGGUUGUAAAGUACUUUCAGCGGGGAGGAAGGUGUUGUGGUUAAUAACCACAGCAAUUGACGUUACCCGCA